AUGUGUUCUGAAUUUGGUUUUAUAGUCUGGGAUAAAGAUUGUUGGUUUUCAACCUUAUGACUAUCUAGGAAAGCCAAGAGGCUGAUUAAGUUCCGAAGAACAGAAAGAGAUAUAAAUGCAUUUUAGAAAAUCUAUGAUUUUGAAUGAAAGCAAUUGCAUUUAAUCUUUUGAAGAAAAAUGAAUCAGUUGUGACUGUAAAAUGAUUUUCAUAAAGAAUGACAAUCACAACCGAUGAAAGAAUUAAAGAUUUUCCUUUACAAACUAUUUUGAGUACGAGAGUCUGAAUCAAUGCAUAAAAGGUUUAAAUGAACUUGUCUUUGAAAAAGACA
rnacentral:lncRNA from 1 species